rnacentral:rRNA from 1 species
GCAGUCGAGCGGGAAGUUUCCUUCGGGAAGCGAGUAUAGCGGCGCACGGGUGAGUAACACGUAGGUAACCUACCCCCAGGUCUGGGAUAACCCGCCGAAAGGCGGGCUAAUACCGGAUAAGACCACGGCGGCUUCGGCCGACGCGGUAAAAGAUGGCCUCUACAUGUAAGCUAUCGCUCGGGGAUGGGCCUGCGCGCCAUUAGCUAGUUGGUGGGGUAAUGGCCUACCAAGGCGAAGAUGGCUAGCUGGUCUGAGAGGAUGAUCAGCCACACUGGGACUGAGACACGGCCCAGACUCCUACGGGAGGCAGCAGUGGGGAAUAUUGCGCAAUGGGGGAAACCCUGACGCAGCGACGCCGCGUGGGUGAUGAAGGCCUUCGGGUCGUAAAGCCCUGUCGGGAGGGACGAACCACCGAUGGAAUAAUACGCCAUCGGCCUGACGGUACCUCCUAAGGAAGCACCGGCUAACUCCGUGCCAGCAGCCGCGGUAAUACGGAGGGUGCGAGCGUUGUUCGGAAUCACUGGGCAUAAAGCGCACGUAGGCGGAUUGGCAAGUCGGUUGUGAAAUCCCGGAGCUCAACUCCGGAACUGCUUCCGAAACUGCCAGUCUAGAGGGCGAGAGGGGAGAGUGGAACUUCUGGUGGAGCGGUGAAAUGCGUAGAUAUCAGAAGGAACACCGGUGGCGAAAGCGACUCUCUGGCUCGCUUCUGACGCUAAGGUGCGAAAGCUUGGGUAGCAAACGGGAUUAGAUACCCUGGUA